CAGGUGCAAUAUAUUUUUAGGUUAAAUCAUUUCAGCCGCCCCCCAAUCGCCUCCAUGUCUAUUCUCGUUCUCACUGAACUUCGGGCCUCCUCUCUCUGCAACUGCAAACUACAAAAUCUACAAGAAUCAGAAGUUCAAAACCCAUAUAUUUCAGUUUAUCUAUCUUUCUGCAAGAAUCAAAAGUUGAAAACCUAUUACCUAUAUCAAAACCCAUAUCGGCAUAUCAUCUCAGAUUGUUCAAAAAAUCAAAACCUCCAUUGCCCACUGUUCCAGUUCGGGUUCGCCGUUCGCAAGCUUCAGCCGCUGGCCCGCUGUCUCUCAACUCUCUAGCUUGCCCCCAUCUCUCUCUGCAACCGCUAACUUAUAUGAAACCUAGCGGCCAACUUCACCUCUCAACUCUGUCCUCUCGCCGGCAACAAUCAUGGAUUUGAAAGACUAAUUGGUAAAUUUGGGUUGAACUUGAGUCUUGAACAAGCUGAAGAUAAAGUAAAUCAAGGUGCUAAGGAGAAGGUAAAGGAUACGGAAGAAAAUACAGAAAGGCAAGGUUAUUAUUCUUACAAUUAUAUAUAUGCAUUUCUCUUUUAAAAUUGUGAAGAAUCAUAAGAUUUUCUUUUAUGAUUGGUUCUUGCUAACUUUGAUGAUUGUGUUUUUUGUGGCUAGCUGAGAAUUAGUUUUCGCUGUUUCAGCAGAACACUUAAUGGGAGGAUUAAGAGGUUUGAUUUUGAGAAUCUAGAAAUGUGCCUUGUAACUGGAGUUGCUUAAUUUUUUUUUUUUUUUUUAUGAGUAUAACUGGAGGUAUUUAAUUCUUAAUCGACUUUAACCAUAAAGCACAAAGUAACUGGGUUUUCAGGUUACGCCUUUGUCAUAUACUUAUGUACCCAUACCUCAUGAACUCUUAUGAUUAUGCUGGGGCUAUUUUAUAAAGUUUUUAGCUUCAUGCUGAAACUUAAUAAUGUUAAAGAAUGGCUUUACCAAUUAUGGUCUCUGUACUCAAGUUUGCUGGGAGGAAUGAAUGGGUACACACCUAUAUUUUUAUUUGUACUAAGUGGUUGCUUGAACUGAAAUUCAGUAAUGUAUUACUCAAUAUAACAAGUACAGUGAGCAUGUUUGGGUAUCUAGGAGUUCCUUUAAACCCAUGGCUCUUUUAGUAGUAGAUUAAUAGUUUUGUUUACUGCACAACUUUUUUCUAUGACUAUUUUUGCUUAUGGAAAAUAGUUUUAACUCAGUUAAUAUCUGUUAUUUGGUUUAUAAAGUAAUGGAAUACAUGGACAAAAUGGAAUUUGAAAAUUGGAUUCAUAUAGCCAACUUUAAUAGUUGAAAAUAGAGUUGGUUUGUUGAGUUGAGAUGUUAUAAAAUAUUUAACUAGGAAAAAAAAUGUUAUAAAAUAUUUAGUAUUGAUAAAUUACUUGCUUUUUAUUCCAAUCUCAAGUAUUAUUCUAAUUUUUAUUAGGAGAAAACUUUGACAAUCUUAUGCUUUACUAUUUGUUUGAGGACACAUACCUACACCCAAUACGUGUAGCUGAGUCCAGGUGACAUAGCUUAAGUGUAGAGAAGAAGUUGGAAGCUUCAGCAAAUAUUGUGGGAUAGGGAGAUCUUGUUUCCUUAUAAUCAAAUCCUAGUUAAAUGCUCAUAUUGGAAGUGCUAACUGCUAAGGCUAAUUUCUAGCCAAGUAGCCAGGCAUGAACCCAGGAUACUGGAAAUCUUCAAUUGUUAUCUUUUCUUUCGGCUUUCAUUGGUCUUCUUUGUUGGUUUUAUUAGGUAUUAUCUUUGAGAAGAUUUUUGUCCUUUACUUUUAUUCCUUCUUCACUUUUUCUUGACAAGUGAAAUUUUUUAUAAGAAUUUGGAUGAGAAUUAUUUCAAAUGCACUCUAGAACAUACAAGGGGAGAAAAAUAUACCAAAAUGCAAGGAUGCAUUCAAAAAUACAGUAGGAUAGAAGUGGGUUAUGCUUACUCUUGACCUUGAUUGAGCUUGGGAAUAACUAGAGCAACCAGUUCACUUCAUUUUCAGUGUCUUUUUGGAUACCUUGUUAAUCUUUAUGCCUAUAUGAAGGAGCUAGUAUUUUUAGUUGAAAGGUAAACUCAUACCUCUAAAUUUUACUGACUAGCUCCAAGACUCAAAUGACAACUGGAAGUUGCGGGUAUGUGGAGGCCUUAGGAUAUCACUAGGAUGCAUGAAUUGUUUUCAGACAGAGGAAUUUACAAUCUUCAUGCCCCUCAUGUUUUCGCACUGAAAAGUUUUUUUUUUGGGUAUUAAUUUUGUGAGCAAACCCCUCUCCUUCCUCAGACGGCCUAGCUACAGGUUGCAACUGAUGAUUCGUGGGCAAAACGUAAAAAAGCUUGGACCAUUUAAUUUGGGAUCAUGAACUUAACUCAAUAAAGCCUUAGCUCCAAGACUCAAAUGACAACUGGAAGUUGCGGGUAUGUGGAGGCCUUAGGAUAUCACUAGGAUGCAUGAAUUGUUUUCAGAUAGAGGAAUUUACAAUCGUCAUGCCCUUCAUGUUUUCGCACUGAAAAGUUUUUUUUUUUUGGGUAUUAAUUUUGUGAGCAAACCCCUCCUUCCUCAGACGGCCUAGCUACAGGUUGCAACUGAUGAUUCGUGGGCAAAACGUAAAAAAGCUUGGACCAUUUAAUUUGGGAUCAUGAACUUAACUCAAUAAAGCCUUAGCUCCCAAAUACUGGGGUACCAUUUAAUUUGGAAUUGUGUACUUUUGGAGGGAGGUGUGUGAGUAUUAACUAGGAAAAAAAAAUUAGAAUCGUGUACUUAACUCAAGAAGCCUUGGCUCCCAACUGAUUGGGUUAAGUUGCAUAAAUUAUUUUAAACCCAAUCUAGAGUGAUAUCCUACAUUUUUAUGGAACCAAAUAUAUGGACAAAUGUUGAUAGAAUGUUUCAAUAAGGUUUUUCACGUUUUCUCAAUUAUUUUUCUUUUUUAUGUUUAAAUAUGCAAUGUAAAAGAUUCAUUGGCAUUAGUUCAUCCCUCAGACUAGUUCAUCUAUGUUAAGGUAGUUUUUAGCAAAGGGCCAAGGAACCUUGGACUUGGGGCAAAAUUUAGUAUUUGUAAUCAUUCCAAACAUGUUGGCUUUUGUAUUAAUGUGAAUUGUUUAAGAUAUUUUUUUGUGCUGCCUUAAUAAUUAUUUGUUAUCUUGUGAUUUGUUAUUUGGUUUGUAUUUUUGCAUUCUUAGUGUGUAAAAAAGGCCUUGAAAAUAUGAGAAGAGCUUGUAGAAACUUAAAUUUGUUGUAGUGGUUUUAACUAAUCAUAAUUUUUCUUAUUUUUUUGACAGAUUGCAUGUUGCUGGGAUUAUCUUUUUGACUUUUUGUUGCAGGCCCAUUAACUAUAUUUUUUGUUUCAUAUUGGCUUAGGAUAAACUAACUUUUGUACUUUUGGUUCUUACAUGGGAUUGGAUUUAUGGAUCUCCAAUCUUCCCAUUGUUGGCAGAUGACAUGUAGAUGGUAUUAGUUUUUGUUAUAGUCUCAUUGAUUAUGUUUUUUGUUUCAUAUGGGCUUAGGAAAAAUUCACUUUUGGAUCUUCCAAUUUUGUUGGAUAUAGGUUUAAUCAUUUUCUAUGUAUAUGAAUCUUGUCUUGAUGUCAUAUUAGGAAUAUGUAUGGAUGAUUAGAUAUAUGAAAAAGUAUUUUACUUUUUCAUUUGUAAAA